GGAAGGAAAUCAAGUUGCAGAAGUUGCUUAGGGAAACUUUCUUUAGCUUGCCCAUGGUGAUGUGAAGAUGAGAAGAAAUAGCAAGGCCCAACCAGUUCUUCAUCUGGAGACAGUUCAACGUUCUGCAAACCAGGACAGUACUACAGAAGGACUAAGUAUAUAGGAAACUUGACUUAUUUAAAUAAGGCAGUGAAAAAAAUAGAAUAUGGGGAGUAAAACAACCUCUGAAGCUAAGUCUGCAUAUAUAAUAACUGGAUCUUCAGGAAUUUUACUGGGAUAAUUAUCCAAAUAAAUUGCAAGCAUUCUAUCCAAAUGGAGCUCUUUCUGAGAUGAAGAGAAUUCUCAAUGUCAAGAUUUGAACAAGAAGAGAAUGGAAUACACAAUAUGGACAUCCAUAAAAAUUCAUCAGAGAGCAUUUUACUACUGAGCUGCAAAGGUAGGAAAAAUAAAUUUUUUUUGGUUAGAAAAUAUACUUCUUUCAUCUGCGUUUCAAUAAUUUAUUCCCCUUGUUAGAUAUACAUGGAAUUGAUAUUGCUUAUUCUGACUAAGUGAAAAGUGUUAUUUCUACUUACUGCUCAAUUAGAAACAUGUAGUGUUUAAUUGUCAGUUUGAAUUUUUCUUUCAUACUAUUACAGUUUAUAUUUUACUAUAGGCAGAAUUUCCUCUUUAUCCUAAAUUUUGAUAUUCUCCAUAAUUUCAUCGUGCCUUGACAUUGCUGUAUAUAAUUUCUAUACAUCAGGAAGGCAAUUCUGUGUGCAUGUGUGUGUGUAUAUAUAUAGUUAGAAGUUAGAAACUGAAACUCUUUUUUGUCUACCAUCAUUUCAUAUUUUUCUUGCUAUUUCAAACCUAUAAUUUUUAAAGAAACGACUAACGUAAUCAUUCAUAGAAUAUGCUGUCAGUAACUUAACAAUAUAAAUGUUAACAUGGAGGCAUUUAGUUCAGCAUUUGCUUUACUUAAUAGAGUGCAGAAAAUGUGGCCCUUUUCUCAGUUAGGGUGUAUGUGAAGAUAAAUUUAGAAUUUCUAGACUAGUAAAUACUUCUCUGAUAAUAACUUAAUUAUAGCUAUUUCAAACCAAAUUGUUUAAUUGUGGUGAAUCAUAUGUAAAUUGUUCAGAUGUAGGUCAACACCCACGCCCACAUUCUAGCACCUCUUUCCUAAUUCAAGACAACUUUGCAGUGCCUAAAAGAGCUGAACAGUGCAGAUUAGAGACAUAAGACAAAAAAAAAAAAAAAA
rnacentral:lncRNA from 1 species